rnacentral:rRNA from 1 species
GAGUCUGGNNCGUGUCUCAGUCCCAGUGUNGCCGGUCACCCUCUCAGGCCGGCUACCCGUCGUNNCCUUGGUAAGCCAUUACCUCACCAACAAGCUGAUAGGCCGCGAGUCCAUCCAAAACCACAAAAAAGCUUUCCACCAACCACCAUGCGACAGUCAGUCAUAUCCAGUAUUAGACCCAAUUUCUCAGGCUUAUCCCANAGUUAAGGGUAGGUUACUCACGUGUUACUCACUUGUUCGCCACUAAUCCCCCAGCAAGCUGGGAUCANCGUCCGACUUGCAUG